CAGAUUGGAACCUUUGAAACCACUAGUACUUGCUCUUCAGACACGGAUCCGUUCACAAUUCAAGUAACCAAAUCUCUGUCCGGAUUAGUAAAUUUUCCUCUGGUUUUUUCCUUUUUUUUCUUGGUCAUUAUUUUUUCUCCCAUCGAUCUACUUGGUCUGCUGAUAAUUCCCAACUAAACCAGCCUCUUAGGGCGUAAAUCUCUUUUUGGUCUUUAACACGUUUUGCACUGAAUUGUCAGAGUGUCAACAUAAUUUUCCAUCCUUCACCAUUUUUUUCCUUAUGCACAAUUAUUAUUUUCUUUGACCUUUUUUUUUUCUUUUGCAUGUAGGUAUAAAAAUAUUUGGAGCGUUGAAUUAUUUACAUCCUUCAAAUUUUGAGUCAAAGCUUUUUUUUUCCUUCUGGAGUUUUGCCAAUUCUUGAUAGGAUGGAUAAAAAAGCAAAAAAGAUAGGAAUUUCCAUAAAUAAAGACUAAAGCGUUUGAACUUGGGAAGGGAGGCAGAUGCUUCCUUGAAUCUCCUUGCUACCGAAAAUCCUUUCACCAGCAUUUUGAAGACUCCGGAGAAGCCAGAUGGUGUUGAAUUCGGCAAAUACUACAGUUUACCUGCUCUCAAUGAUCCACGGAUCGUUCAUCGGAACGCGUUGUCAUCCCAAUUGAUGAUUUCCCGCAAACAGACUCACCGGUAAUCUACGUCACUCGGUUCAGUUGGGGGAGUCCACGUGAGUUUAGCGCACGAUGAUAUCGUCAGCUAUUAUCGAAGGCCUUUAAGUCCGGUCAGCUUAGGUUGAACUCGAAUUUAGAUUUUAUGCCUAUGUUGGGUUUGGUCCAAUCUGAAAUUUUUUAUUUUAUUAGUUGUAAAUAACAUUUUUAAUUUUAGAGUUAAUUAAAACUACCAAAAU